CUCGGCUUGGCGGGCGUCAGCGCGGCCGGCGGCGCGGUGACGGUGCGGUGGGAAGCGGCGGGCAGCGGGCUCGCCUACUGCUUCGAGAAGCAGCCGCUGGCCGGGGCGCCGCGGCAGGACGCCUGCGUCCGGAGGGAUUUCCCGGCAAAGAGCCUCCACGUGGAGAGAGGGCAGCUGACGGAGCCGGCGUGCUACCGACUGGCCGUGCACGGCUGGGCGCCGGAGCGGCGCUGGGCCACCUUCGCCCUCACCUACCACUACGCCGGCAACGCCUCGCUCGCCGAGUCCGUCCGCAUCAACGCCAGCAGCGACUCGGCCGUGCUGCAGUGGCAGCCCUCGCCCCGCGCCGCCUGCCCCGGCGUCUUGAAGAAGUACAUCAUCUGCUACGGGCCCGAG
rnacentral:lncRNA from 1 species